UACGGAGGGGGCGAGCGUUGUCCGGAGUUACUGGGCGUAAAGGGCGCGUAGGCGGCCUUCUAAGUCGAACGUGAAAUCCCCGGGCUCAACCCGGGAACUGCGUCCGAUACUGGGAGGCUUGAAUCCGGGAGAGGGAUGCGGAAUUCCAGGUGUAGCGGUGAAAUGCGUAGAUAUCUGGAGGAACACCGGUGGCGAAGGCGGCAUCCUGGACCGGCAUUGACGCUGAGGCGCGAAAGCCAGGGGAGCAAACGGG
rnacentral:rRNA from 1 species